ACACCUCAACUCUCGUGGUUCGCCAUGAUGAGCUUGGACUUUGGGGGUCUUGCUGGCCAAUGGUCGGCUCUCCUCAAAUGAAUCAGCUUGCCAGUGUUUGGUGGCGUCGCAUGUGUGAUAACUAUCUACGCUUGUGAUUUCCACCAGGUAACCUUCAGGGAUGGAGGUUCGCUGGAGCUCAUAAAUGUCUCUCCUCGGCGAGGACAGCACUUUGAAU
rnacentral:misc_RNA from 1 species